UCCCUAUCUGCCGUGGGCGUUGGAUGAUUGAAGGGAGUUGCUCCUAGUACGAGAGGACCGGAGUGAACGAACCUCUGGUGUUCGGGUUGUCACGCCAGUGGCACUGCCCGGUAGCUAAGUUCGGAAUCGAUAACCGCUGAAAGCAUCUAAGCGGGAAGCGAGCCCUGAGAUGAGUCAUCCCUGACCCCUUGAGGGUCCUAAAGGGCCGUUGGAGACCACAACGUUGAUAGGUGGGGUGUGUAAGCGUAGCGAUACGUUGAGCUAACCGAUACUAAUGAACCGUGAG
rnacentral:rRNA from 13 species